UACUCGAGUGGCGAACGGGUGAGUAACACGUGGGUGAUCUGCCCUGCACUUCGGGACAAGCCUGGGAAACUGGGUCUAAUACCGGAUAGGAGCCAUUUUUAGUGUGAUGGUUGGAAAGUUUUUUCGGUGUAGGAUGAGCUCGCGGCCAAUCAGCUUGUUGGUGGGGUAAUGGCCUACCAAGGCGGCGACGGGUAGCCGGCCUGAGAGGGUGGACGGCCACAUUGGGACUGAGAUACGGCCCAG
rnacentral:rRNA from 1 species